rnacentral:rRNA from 1 species
AUACGGAAGGCAGCAGUAAGGAAUAUUGCACAAUGGGCGAAAGCCUGAUGCAGCAACGCCGCGUGCAGGAUGAAGGCCUUCGGGUCGUAAACUGCUUUGGACCCUGACGAGCAAGGACGGUAGGGGUCGAACAAGUCACGGCUAACUACGUGCCAGCAGCCGCGGUAAAACGUAGGUGACAAGCGUUAUCCGGAUUUACUGGGCGUAAAGGGUGUGCAGGCGGGGGGAUAAGUGGUGUAUGAAAGUGCCCGGCUUAACCGGGCGAGGCUAUGCCAGACUGUCCUUCUUGAGCGCGAGAGAGGAGCGUGGAAUUCCGGGUGUAGUGGUGAAAUGCGUAGAGAUCCGGAGGAACCCCAGAGGCGAAGGCGGCGCUCUGGCUCGCGACUGACGCUCAGACACGACAGCAUGGGGAGCGAACGGGAUUAGAUACCCCGGU